rnacentral:rRNA from 1 species
AUUGAACGCUGGCGGCAGGCCUAACACAUGCAAGUCGAGCGGAUGAAGGGUGCUUGCUCCUGGAUUCAGCGGCGGACGGGUGAGUAAUGCCUAGGAAUCUGCCUGGCAGCGGGGGAUAACGUCCGGGAACGGGCGCUAAUACCGCAUACGUCCUGAGGGAGAAAGUGGGGGAUCUUCGGACCUCACGCUAUCAGAUGAGCCGAGGUCGGAUUAGCUAGUUGGUGGGGUAAAGGCCUACCAAGGCGACGAUCCGUAGCUGGUCUGAGAGGAUGAUCAGUCACACUGGAACUGAGACACGGUCCAGACUCCUACGGGAGGCAGCAGUGGGGAAUAUUGGACAAUGGGCGAAAGCCUGAUCCAGCCAUGCCGCGUGUGUGAAGAAGGUCUUCGGAUUGUAAAGCCCUUUUGGUUGGAAAGAAAAGCAGUAGGUUAAUACCUUGCUGUUUUGACGGUACCAACAGAAUAAGCACCGGCUAACUUCGUG